rnacentral:misc_RNA from 1 species
GGUGCACGCGGACCUGCAC